rnacentral:rRNA from 1 species
AUUGAACGCUGGCGGCAUGCCUUACACAUGCAAGUCGAACGGUAACAGGUCUUCGGAUGCUGACGAGUGGCGAACGGGUGAGUAAUACAUCGGAACGUGCCUAGUAGUGGGGGAUAACUACUCGAAAGAGUGGCUAAUACCGCAUGAGAUCUAAGGAUGAAAGCAGGGGAUCGCAAGACCUUGUGCCACUAGAGCGGCCGAUGGCAGAUUAGGUAGUUGGUGGGAUAAAAGCUUACCAAGGCGACGAUCUGUAGCUGGUCUGAGAGGACGAUCAGCCACACUGGGACUGAGAAACGGCCCAGACUCCUACGGGAGGCAGCAGUGGGGAAUUUUGGACAAUGGGCGCAAGCCUGAUCCAGCAAUGCCGCGUGCAGGAUGAAGGCCUUCGGGUUGUAAACUGCUUUUGUACGGAACGAAAAGCCCCGGGUUAAUACCCUGGGGUCAUGACGGUACCGUAAGAAUAAGCACCGGCUAACUACGUGCCAGCCGCCGCAGUAA